CUGUAUGUUGUUAAUGCUAAUCGUGAUAGGGGUUUUUACCUAUGACUGACUCCUACACGUUAGCAUUAACA
ensembl:miRNA